rnacentral:rRNA from 1 species
UGGGGAAUAUUGGACAAUGGGCGCAAGCCUGAUCCAGCCAUGCCGCGUGAGUGAUGAAGGCCCUAGGGUUGUAAAGCUCUUUCACCGGUGAAGAUAAUGACGGUAACCGGAGAAGAAGCCCCGGCUAACUUCGUGCCAGCAGCCGCGGUAAUACGAAGGGGGCUAGCGUUGUUCGGAUUUACUGGGCGUAAAGCGCACGUAGGCGGACUAUUAAGUCAGGGGUGAAAUCCCGGGGCUCAACCCCGGAACUGCCUUUGAUACUGGUAGUCUUGAGUUCGAGAGAGGUGAGUGGAAUUCCGAGUGUAGAGGUGAAAUUCGUAGAUAUUCGGAGGAACACCAGUGGCGAAGGCGGCUCACUGGCUCGUUACUGACGCUGGGGUGCGAAAGCGUGGGGAGCAAACAGG